UUUGUGUGAAAGGCUUCACCUGGAAAGGCAUUGCCUCUGCCUCAAAACAUUAGAUAAUCAGAGUUUAGAAGGCUGAGUCAGAGGCAUGCACAACAUGAAAGGAAGUGAUUACACUUUGUAAUGACAUGGAGAAUGCAGCGGUCAGGGGGCUGAGAGCAAGUCACCUCCCUUCACAUAACCCUCCUCCCCUCAUCAGAGGCAAGUUAAACAAGGGAAGGAGGCGGAAAUGAGUUGGGGCUGCUGGAGUCUCAUCCUCUCCCUCCUGCAGUUAGGGGCUGAGAGCAGCCAUCGCUCUCCAAGUCGCCCUCCUCCCCCCAUCAGAGGAAGUUAAACAAGGACCCAGGAUCUAUGGCAGGAUAUUGCGUUCAGUGAAGCUACCACACGUGAUUCAAGGCAGGAAUUUCUGCCUGACUUUUGAGUUUGUAAUCUCUGAACCCCAGACACAUGGAGACAAGCUUUAUUUACUUUGAGGGUGAAUAAAAUAUUGUGAAUGAAAGGGAGAGAGUUGUCAUCUUGCAUGGUACUAAAGUGUGGAUAAACCUCUACAAAUGCUGCAGCUAAUAAAGAUUCACUUGAAGCACAAAGAAGGAGGAAACCCGCUUUCUACCCCUGAUGCUCUCUGAGGGCAGUUUAAAUGCCAACCAGUCAGCCACACAUUUGAUGAGAACUAGUC